UUUCAUUUGUAGCAAUACACGUGAAUAUUCAGUGGCGUAAGGGUGCGUAACACGUGGGCAACCUGCCGAGAAGUGGGGGAUAGCUCGUCGAAAGGCGAAUUAAUACCGCAUGUGGUUAGUGCUGGAUUCAGCGCGAUACCAAAGCCGGGGCAACCUGGCGCUUCUUGAUGGGCCCGCGGCCUAUCAGCUAGUUGGUGAGGUAACGGCUCACCAAGGCUAUGACGGGUAGCUGGUCUGAGAGGACGACCAGCCACACUGGAACUGAGACACGGUCCAGACACCUACGGGUGGCAGCAGUCGAGAAUUUUUCUCAAUGGGGGAAACCCUGAAGGAGCGACGCCGCGUGGAGGAUGAAGGUCUUCGGAUUGUAAACUCCUGUCAUUUGGGAACAAUGUGCAUUGGUUAACUGCCGAUGCAUUGAUAGUACCAGAAGAGGAAGAGACGGCUAACUCUGUGCCAGCAGCCGCGGUAAUACAGAGGUCUCAAGCGUUGUUCGGAUUCAUUGGGCGUAAAGGGUGCGUAGGUGGCGGGGUUAGUCAGGUGUGAAAUCUCGGGGCUCAACCCCGAAACUGCACUUGAUACUGCCUUGCUAGAGUACUGGAGAGGAGAUUGGAAUUUACGGUGUACAGUGAAAUGCGUAGAUAUCCGUAAGGAAGACCAGUGGCGAAGGCGAAUCUCUGGACAGUUACUGACCACUGAGGCACGAAGGCCAGGGGGAGCAAACGGGAUUAGAUUCCCCGGUAGUCCUGGCAGUAACGGUGCGCGUUGGGGU
rnacentral:rRNA from 1 species